GCAGGGGCGGCGGCGGCGGCGGCGGCGGCGGCGGCGGCAGCGGCAGCGGCAGCGCCGGCGGCGACUGCGACAAGCAGUAUAGCUCUUCUUGUCCUCGAUGGGCUGGGGCACUUUAGACAUAAGCACUUCACAGCUGGACAGAAGUACUCAGCCCUCCUGAUCAACUGCCAGCUUGAAGGGAUCUCCAGAAUUCCUCUUGCCAGCUUCAGGCCAAAGGCAGCAGUUUGUUUAUGGCUCCAAGACCAAACAAAGACAGCUACUAUCAGAGCUUGGGGUGUCUAAUCUGUGUGGAUGAAGAUGAAGCCAAGAGCAGUGACGCCGAAUCACAGGUAGACAACAGACAACAGGAUGGUUCACUCUCCUGCUUGUGGCAAGCUGUCCUCUGUACCCCACCCUCAGAUCCCAUAAAAUUUCUGUCAUUAUAA